rnacentral:tRNA from 1 species
UCCCCGUAGUUCAGUCGGUAGAACGGCGGACUGUUAAUCCGUAUGUCACUGGUUCAAGUCCAGUCGGGGAGCCA